rnacentral:rRNA from 1 species
GUAAGUCGAGCGANAGAUAAGGAGCUUGCUCCUUUGACGUUAGCGGCGGACGGGUGAGUAACACGUGGGUAACCUACCUAUAAGACUGGGAUAACUUCGGGAAACCGGAGCUAAUACCGGAUAACAUUUGGAACCGCAUGGUUCUAAAGUGAAAGAUGGUUUUGCUAUCACUUAUAGAUGGACCCGCGCCGUAUUAGCUAGUUGGUAAGGUAACGGCUUACCAAGGCGACGAUACGUAGCCGACCUGAGAGGGUGAUCGGCCACACUGGAACUGAGACACGGUCCAGACUCCUACGGGAGGCAGCAGUAGGGAAUCUUCCGCAAUGGGCGAAAGCCUGACGGAGCAACGCCGCGUGAGUGAUGAAGGGUUUCGGCUCGUAAAACUCUGUUAUUAGGGAAGAACAAACGUGUAAGUAACUGUGCACGUCUUGACGGUACCUAAUCAGAAAGCCACGGCUAACUACGUGCCAGCAGCCGCGGUAAUACGUAGGUGGCAAGCGUUAUCCGGAAUUAUUGGGCGUAAAGCGCGCGUAGGCGGUUUCUUAAGUUUGAUGUGAAAUCCNACGGCUCAUCCGAGGAGGG